AACCAGCACCUCAAGUGGUCAGGAUGAUUAUUGGGCCUAAAGCAUCCGUAGCCGGCUCUGUAAGUUUUCGGUUAAAUCUGUACGCUCAACGUACAGGCUGCCGGGAAUACUGCAGAGCUAGGGAGUGGGAGAGGUAGACGGUACUCGGUAGGAAGGGGUAAAAUCCUUUGAUCUAUCGAUGACCACCUGUGGCGAAGGCGGUCUACCAGAACACGUCCGACGGCGAGGGAUGAAAGCUGGGGGAGCAAACCGG
rnacentral:rRNA from 1 species